GAUACCAGGGUUAAAAGGUCUACACACACAUAUGAGCUUGCUCAUAUGUGUGUGUAAGACCUUGGGACCCGCCCCGGUAUGAGCAUGAAAGUGGGAUGAAUAUCCCACGAUAUGCGAAUAUUGGGGAGGAUUGCGUGAGUGCGCAGCACGUAGCAAUCCGUAGGCAUC
rnacentral:sRNA from 1 species